rnacentral:rRNA from 2 species
UAGGGAAUCUUCGGCAAUGGACGAAAGUCUGACCGAGCAACGCCGCGUGAGUGAAGAAGGUUUUCGGAUCGUAAAACUCUGUUGUUAGAGAAGAACAAGGACGUUAGUAACUGAACGUCCCCUGACGGUAUCUAACCAGAAAGCCACGGCUAACUACGUGCCAGCAGCCGCGGUAAUACGUAGGUGGCAAGCGUUGUCCGGAUUUAUUGGGCGUAAAGCGAGCGCAGGCGGUUUCUUAAGUCUGAUGUGAAAGCCCCCGGCUCAACCGGGGAGGGUCAUUGGAAACUGGGAGACUUGAGUGCAGAAGAGGAGAGUGGAAUUCCAUGUGUUGCGGUGAAAUGCGUAGAUAUAUGGAGGAACACCAGUGGCGAAGGCGGCUCUCUGGUCUGUAACUGACGCUGAGGCUCGAAAGCGUGGGGAGCAAACAGG